AUUCCUUUAAGUUUCAGUCUUGCGACCGUACUCCCCAGGCGGCAGACUUAACGGCUUCCCUGCGGCACUGGGCUGGCACAAGGCUAACCCAUCACCGAGUCUGCAUCGUUUACAGCUGGGACUACCCGGGUAUCUAAUCCGGUUUGCUCCCCCAGCUUUCAUCCCUCACCGUCGAGCGCGUUCUGGCAAGCCGCCUUCGCCACUGGUGGUCUUCAAUGGAUCAAAGGAUUUUACCCCUACCCACUGAGUACCGCUUGCCUCUCCCGCCUCCUAGUCCUAUAGUAUCCUCCGCGGCCCAUCCGUUGAGCGGCUGGAUUUAACGGAGGACUUGCAGAACCGGCUACGGAUGCUUUAGGCCCAAUAAUCGUCCCGACCACUCGGGGUGCUGGUAUUACCGCGGCGGCUGACAC
rnacentral:rRNA from 1 species